rnacentral:rRNA from 1 species
AGUCGAGCGAAUAAGGGCUAACGGUGGAUACCUAGGCACACAGAG